GGCCCAGAAUGGUGUAGUGAUUAGAGUAUUGGACUAUGACUCUGGAGAUCAGGGUUCAAAUCCCUGCUUGGUUA